rnacentral:rRNA from 1 species
UACAGAGGUCUCAAGCGUUGUUCGGAUUCAUUGGGCGUAAAGGGGGUGUAGGUGGCGCCGUAAGUCGGGUGUGAAAUCUCGGGGCUUAACUCCGAAACUGCAUUCGAUACUGCGGUGCUUGAGGACUGGAGAGGAGACUGGAAUUCAUGGUGUAGCAGUGAAAUGCGUAGAUAUCGUAAGGAAGACCAGUGGCGAAGGCGGGUCUCUGGACAGUUCCUGACGCUGAGGCACGAAGGUCAGGGGAGCAAACGGG